AACGCGAAGAACCUUACCUGGGCUUGAACCGCUACUGACCAACGGUAGAAAUAUCGUCUUCCCGCAAGGGACAGUAGUAGAGGUGCUGCAUGGCUGUCGUCAGCUCGUGCCGUGAGGUGUUGGGUUAAGUCCCGCAACGAGCGCAACCCUUAUUCGUAGUUGCCACCCGCAAGGGGGAACUCUACGAGGACUGCUCCGGAUAACGGAGAGGAAGGUGGGGAUGACGUCAAGUCAGCACGGCCUUUAUGUCCAGGGCUACACACGUGUUACAAUGCACGGUACAGACUGUUGCGAACCCGCGAGGGGGAGCUAAUCGGAAAAAGCCGUGCUCAGUUCGGAUUGCAGUCUGCAACUCGACUGCAUGAAGCUGGAAUCGCUAGUAAUGGCGUAUCAGAUCGACGCCGUGAAUACGUUCCCGGGCCUUGUA
rnacentral:rRNA from 1 species